GACGAACGCUGGCGGCGUGCCUAAUACAUGCAAGUAUAACGCUGAAGGAUGAUCUUGCUUCUCUGGAUGAGUUGCGAACGGGUGAGUAACUAGUAGGUAACCUGCCUGGUAGCGGGGGAUAACUAUUGGAAACGAUAGCUAAUACCGCAUAAGAGUAGAUGUUGCAUGACAUUUGCUUAAAAGGUGCAAUUGCAUCACUACCAGAUGGACCUGCGUUGUAUUAGCUAGUUGGUGGGGUAACGGCUCACCAAGGCGACGAUACGUAGCCGACCUGAGAGGGGGAUCGGCCACACUGGGACUGAGACACGGGCCAGACUGGGACGGGAGGCAGCAGUAGAGAAUCUUCGGCAAUGGACGGGAGUAAGACCGAGCAACGCGGCGUGAGUGAAGAAGGUUUUCGGAUCGUAAAGCUCUGUUGUAAGAGAAGAAAGAGUGUGAGAGUGGAAAGUUCAAACUGUGACGGUAUCUUACCAGAAAGGGACGGCUAAAUACGUG
rnacentral:rRNA from 1 species